rnacentral:rRNA from 1 species
GAUGAACGCUGGCGGCGUGCCUAAUACAUGCAAGUCGAGCGAACGGACGAGAAGCUUGCUUUUCUGAUGUUAGCGGCGGACGGGUGAGUAACACGUGGAUAACCUACCUAUAAGACUGGGAUAACUUCGGGAAACCGGAGCUAAUACCGGAUAAUAUUUUGAACCGCAUGGUUCAAAAGUGAAAGACGGUCUUGAUGUCACUUAUAGAUGGAUCCGCGCUGCAUUAGCUAGUUGGUAAGGUAACGGCUUACCAAGGCAACGAUGCAUAGCCGACCUGAGAGGGUGAUCGGCCACACUGGAACUGAGACACGGUCCAGACUCCUACGGGAGGCAGCAGUAGGGAAUCUUCCGCAAUGGGCGAAAGCCUGACGGAGCAACGCCGCGUGAGUGAUGAAGGUCUUCGGAUCGUAAAACUCUGUUAUUAGGGAAGAACAUAUGUGUAAGUAACUGUGCACAUCUUGACGGUACCUAAUCAGAAAGCCACGGCUAACUACGUG